AAAUUGAAGAGUUUGAUCAUGGCUCAGAUUGAACGCUGGCGGCAGGCCUAACACAUGCAAGUCGAGCGGUAGCACAGAGAGCUUGCUCUCGGGUGACGAGCGGCGGACGGGUGAGUAAUGUCUGGGAAACUGCCUGAUGGAGGGGGAUAACUACUGGAAACGGUAGCUAAUACCGCAUAAUGUCGCAAGACCAAAGUGGGGGACCUUCGGGCCUCAUGCCAUCAGAUGUGCCCAGAUGGGAUUAGCUAGUAGGUGGGGUAACGGCUCACCUAGGCGACGAUCCCUAGCUGGUCUGAGAGGAUGACCAGCCACACUGGAACUGAGACACGGUCCAGACUCCUACGGGAGGCAGCAGUGGGGAAUAUUGCACAAUGGGCGCAAGCCUGAUGCAGCCAUGCCGCGUGUGUGAAGAAGGCCUUCGGGUUGUAAAGCACUUUCAGCGGGGAGGAAGGCGUUAAGGUUAAUAACCUUGGCGAUUGACGUUACCCGCAGAAGAAGCACCGGCUAACUCCGUGCCAGCAGCCGCGGUAAUACGGAGGGUGCAAGCGUUAAUCGGAAUUACUGGGCGUAAAGCGCACGCAGGCGGUCUGUCAAGUCGGAUGUGAAAUCCCCGGGCUCAACCUGGGAACUGCAUUCGAAACUGGCAGGCUAGAGUCUUGUAGAGGGGGGUAGAAUUCCAGGUGUAGCGGUGAAAUGCGUAGAGAUCUGGAGGAAUACCGGUGGCGAAGGCGGCCCCCUGGACAAAGACUGACGCUCAGGUGCGAAAGCGUGGGGAGCAAACAGGAUUAGAUACCCUGGUAGUCCACGCCGUAAACGAUGUCGAUUUGGAGGUUGUGCCCUUGAGGCGUGGCUUCCGGAGCUAACGCGUUAAAUCGACCGCCUGGGGAGUACGGCCGCAAGGUUAAAACUCAAAUGAAUUGACGGGGGCCCGCACAAGCGGUGGAGCAUGUGGUUUAAUUCGAUGCAACGCGAAGAACCUUACCUGGUCUUGACAUCCACAGAACUUUCCAGAGAUGGAUUGGUGCCUUCGGGAACUGUGAGACAGGUGCUGCAUGGCUGUCGUCAGCUCGUGUUGUGAAAUGUUGGGUUAAGUCCCGCAACGAGCGCAACCCUUAUCCUUUGUUGCCAGCGGUCCGGCCGGGAACUCAAAGGAGACUGCCAGUGAUAAACUGGAGGAAGGUGGGGAUGACGUCAAGUCAUCAUGGCCCUUACGACCAGGGCUACACACGUGCUACAAUGGCAUAUACAAAGAGAAGCGACCUCGCGAGAGCAAGCGGACCUCAUAAAGUAUGUCGUAGUCCGGAUUGGAGUCUGCAACUCGACUCCAUGAAGUCGGAAUCGCUAGUAAUCGUAGAUCAGAAUGCUACGGUGAAUACGUUCCCGGGCCUUGUACACACCGCCCGUCACACCAUGGGAGUGGGUUGCAAAAGAAGUAGGUAGCUUAACCUUCGGGAGGGCGCUUACCACUUUGUGAUUCAUGACUGGGGUGAAGUCGUAACAAGGUAACCGUAGGGGAACCUGCGGUUGGAUCACCUCCUUA
rfam:Klebsiella pneumoniae subsp. pneumoniae MGH 78578, complete sequence.